rnacentral:rRNA from 1 species
CGCAUUGGCAUGCCUCAGUACGGCGAGUGAGCGGCAAAAGCUCAAAUUUUAAAGCUGGCACCUUCGGUGUCCGCGUUGUAAUUUUGUGAGGCAUCUCCGGGUAGGGCGCCGGCCUAAGUUCCUUGGAACAGGACGUCAUAGAGGGUGAGAAUCCCGUGCUUGGCUGGCUGUCCCCGUCCAUGUGAGGUGUCUUCGACGAGUCGAGUUGUUUGGGAAUGCAGCUCAAAAUGGGUGGUAAAUUUCAUCUAAAGCUAAAUAUUGGUGGGAGACCGAUAGCGCACAAGUAGAGUGAUCGAAAGAUGAAAAGCACUUUGAAAAUAGAGUUAAAAAGUACGUGAAAUUGUUGAAAGGGAAGCGCUUGAGACCAGACUUCGGUGGGGGGUGAUCAGCUGUCCUUCUGGGCGGUGCACUUGCUCCCCUCCGGGCCAGCAUCGGUUGGGGCGGCGGGAUAAAGAUCACGGGAAUGUGGCUCCUUUCGGGGAGUGUUAUAGCCCGGGUGAAUGCCGCCAGCUCCGACCGAGGACCGCGCCUUCGGGCUAGGAUGCUUGGCAUAAUGGUCUUCAGCGACCCGUCUUGAACCCACGGGACC